UACGGGGGGAGCAAGCGUUGUUCGGAUUUACUGGGCGUAAAGGGCGCGUAGGCGGCGCAACAAGUCACUUGUGAAAUCUCCGGGCUUAACUCGGAGCGGCCAAGUGAUACUGUCGUGCUAGAGUGCGGAAGGGGCUACUGGAAUUCUCGGUGUAGCGGUGAAAUGCGUAGAUAUCGAGAGGAACACCUGCGGCGAAGGCGGGUAGCUGGGCCGACACUGACGCUGAACUGCGAAAGCUAGGGGAGCGAACGGG
rnacentral:rRNA from 1 species